CAUCUGAUAUAUUAUGGUAACAAGAUGGCUCUAUGAGCUGGCCAUACUCAGUAGUCAGAGUGAAACCGGCCAUGUAAAAACGACAAAGCAUAGGAUUCAGUGUAGGAGCUUGGGCCCCGUGGUAUCAGUUGACUUACAGACUGAGUUCAACCACAUGGGCAACAUAUUAAUCAAUCAUACCUAUGCAAUAAAGUCUUCAUAAAAACUAUGGACAACAAAGUUCUGGUGAGCAUCAUGGGUUGGCAACACUCCAUAAGGAGCAUGAACACCAUUUUUAAUCAGGCCCUUGCAGACUUUGCAAAAAAGAAAGAAGAAAGUAAAUAAAUGAAAAUAGAAAGGAAGCUAGAGAAAGAGAGAAAGAAAGAAAGAAAGAGAGAGAAAGAGAGAAUGAAUGAGAGAAAGAAAGAAAGAGGAAGAGAAAGAGAGAGGAAGAAAGAAUAAAUGAGAGAGAAAAAAAGAAGAAAGAAAGAAAAAAGAAAGGAAGAGAGGAAGAAAAGAGAGAGAAAGAAUUUUUU
rnacentral:lncRNA from 1 species